rnacentral:rRNA from 1 species
CAAUCUACCUUCAACUGGUGAAUAGCCCGAAGAAAUUCGGAUUAAUACACCAUAAUAUAUAUGAGUGGCAUCACUUAUAUAUUAAAACUCCGGUGGUUGAAGAUGAGCAUGCGUGACAUUAGCUAGUUGGUGAGGUAAUGGCUCACCAAGGCUACGAUGUCUAGGGGAUCUGAGAGGAUUAACCCCCACACUGGUACUGAGACAGGGACCAG